CUUUGCCUUACACGAUUCUGGAGUCGAUAAAAUGAAAUACCUUUCAGGAAGCUGAAGAAAAGCCAAAGCUGGGACUCGAGGAGUUUUAAAGUUAAGAAAAACCAUAAUAAGGAACUGUACGAGUUUCUUGUUAUUGUUUCUCGUAAAUGUGAACAGCAGGAGACUAAACCAACCAAUUUUGGAUCGAGAAAAUAUUGGAUCAGUACAACGUCCAUCUAGUAUGCCAAGGGUCGUAUAUAGGUGAAAACAGCGGAAAAAGCUAACGAACAAGUGAAGUAUUUCUGUUGGUGAUGGAAUAACUGAAGCCAAGCUUUUCUUCUCGUUAAAGAAAAGAUCAAUAAGCUGACAGAUAGCAUAAGGUCAUGGAAACCUGGUAGUUAAUUUUGAAAAUCAUGGAAUUAAAACCCGAUUCGACUUCCACAAAAAAUACGAUCACGGAGUUCUGCUUUUUUUAAAGCCUAAGUCUGAUCUAUUUAUCACAUGUGUCUGAUGUACAGGUCAUAUUUCUGAGGUGCCCAUGCAUCGUAUAUGAUGCAUAUACAAAUAUUUUUCAAUCAGCAGCAUAAUUUGGGCUAUAUUAAAGGAGAGUUUAAUAUUACUUAGAACGUAUGACACAAGGGUUAACUAAAAAUCUGAAACAAGCAUGAAUAUUUAAGACAAGCUUAUGAAAACGAUUCAGAGAGGCAAAGAGCGAAGAAGACAAAAUUUGUUUCGUGAAAAAUCAGUGAUGAUGUCUUUAUAACGGUCAUACCCAUGUUACAAUAUUCUUACCAUACUCCAAUAUAGGAUUGAGUUCUUGCAAAAUUCGUUUUGUACAAAUGCAAUGAUGUUACUCCUAACAUAUUCUGCGAUUUCUUAUUCAUAUUCUUCCAAAUCUAAUUAUCCUGAAUGACAUUUAAACUGGAAAUAACUGUGUGGAACACAUAUCUUCAAAUUCCUUUUCGAGACUUGCGUGACAGAAAAAUUUGGGUCAAGUAGAGAACUUCAGCAGAGAAAAUUAUUAAAUGGAAUGUUGUUUCUAAACUAUUUGGAAACUUAUUCGUUUGAUACUUUGAUCACUCUUCACAUUUUGCGUGCAAACACAUACACAUCAAUGCGUUCGUGCCCAU
rnacentral:lncRNA from 1 species